rnacentral:rRNA from 1 species
CCUACGGGAGGCAGCAGUAGGGAAUAUUGCUCAAUGGGGGAAACCCUGAAGCAGCAACGCCGCGUGGAGGAUGAAGGUUUUCGGAUUGUAAACCUCUUUUGUUAGAGAAGAUAAUGACGGUAUCUAACGAAUAAGCACCGGCUAAUUUCGUUCCAGCAGCCGCGGUAAUACGGAGGGUGCAAGCGUUACUCGGAAUCACUGGGCGUAAAGAGCGCGUAGGCGGGAUAGCAAGUCAGUUGUGAAAUCCUAUGGCUUAACCAUAGAACUGCAUUUGAAACUGUCAUUCUAGAGUACAGGAGAGGUAGGUGGAAUUCUUGGUGUAGGGGUAAAAUGCGUAGAGAUCAAGAAGAAUACUCAUUGCGAAGGCGACCUGCUAGAACAUAACUGACGCUGAUGCGCGAAAGCGUGGGGAGCAAACAGGAUUAGAUACCCUAGUAGUC